rnacentral:tRNA from 1 species
GGAUUAAAGUUAUUUAACAUUUAAAUUGCAAUUAAAAAAAACUAUUUAGUUAAUCUGAC